rnacentral:rRNA from 1 species
GGAGGGCGCAAGCGUUGUUCGGAAUUACUGGGCGUAAAGAGCGUGUAGGCGGUUCGGAAAGUCGGGUGUGAAAUCCCCGGGCUCAACCCGGGAACUGCAUCCGAAACUUCCGUACUAGAGUCCCGGAGAGGAAGGCAGGAUUCCCAGUGUAGGGGUGAAAUCCGUAGAUACUGGGAGGAAUACCGGAGGCGAAGGCGGCCUUCUGGACGGUGACUGACGCUGAGACGCGAAAGCGUGGGGAGCAAACAGGAUUAGAUACCCUGGUAGUCCACGCUGUAAACGGUGCGCACUGGGCGUCGGGGGAUUUACCCCUCCGGUGCCCGUAGCUAACGCGAUAAGUGCGCCCGCCUGGGGAGUACGGCCGCAAGGCUA